rnacentral:misc_RNA from 1 species
AAAAAACAUAAUACAAUUGUUAAAAAAUAUAUAUAUAAUUUGAUGAUAUUUUGAUCAAUCUGAUUUUUGUUGCAAUACAAUGAGAUUACAUUCUUGUUGUUAUACUAGUACAUGUUUAUAUAAUAUAUGUUUAUAAACUGAUUUUUUGAACAUUUGGUCUACAACAAAUACUGACUUUUUAAAAUGCUUAGUUUUCUUGGAAAGUGUAUCAAAUCAUUCAACAAACCAAUUAUUACAAGGGAAAUGCUGUGAUUAAAAGGCAACAAAUCAAAUUACUGUGGAAAAGCAAGUAAAAGGGGACUUGUUGAAUAUCGCAUCGAAAACGAUUAAUUGUGUUGUUUAAUGUGUUAACAAUGGCUUUAGAAUUCUAUGGAAACGGAAGUUCAAUGUAUUAUACACUUAUAUCAUCGAUUCUGUGCCAUAAUAAAUAAUACAAAAGAU